rnacentral:lncRNA from 1 species
CGUUCAAAUUGCGUCAGAUUCAUAAUCACAUGAAAUUUAUGUUAGUAAACUUGGUUUAAAAAUUUGUAUCAUUUUAAUUUUGUGACCCUAUUUAAUUAAUUACUUUUCUAAAGAAAAUGUUAGAAAAUUCAUAUCUUCUCCGUUUUAGCUUCGAUUCGAUCCGUUCAAGUUGCGUUAGUUUUAUAAUUUCAUAAGCUUUGCGUUGGUACCUUUGUU